UUCAGACAUUUGGGAUAUGCACUGUGUCGCUGUUUCUAUAAAUUAUACCGAGCUCAGCUCCACCUACCAAGUUGUACAAAAGACAUGUUGCGAUUCCUUCCUUCUCCUUGGACCAGGCAAGAACUUCUGGGCUCACGGGUCUCAGAAGACAGAAGACUGCCAUGGUGGCUGCCACUUCUGUUUCUCUGUCUCACCGGAGCCAGACGGUUCCCUAGUGGCUUGUUCUAUUCAUGCCUUGCUCAGCCAUAAGGUCCUCUGCUGGACUCCCACGGCAUGGCAUGCAGUGCUCAGGACACCCCGGCAACCCAGGAGCUCCACUUUCGUGUCCUGACUUCUCAGACACUGCCCACUGGAGGCGAAGCUACAGUGUCUGUCACUCAGCCCCCAAAGCUCCUCCAUUCUCAGUUUUCUUCCAACUUCUGGAAAGAUGGAUGUGGUGUAUCGAAGCCGAGCUACUGAUGGCAGCUUCCCUCAGAAUGACCGCGGGUCCCGUGGAAGCACCAGGAAGAGUAAUCCCUUUGGGCAAGUUGGUGAGGAGUGACAUCGGCUGUGGCCAGAGAGAGCUAGAAAGACCAUCUGUGGUGGGAGGGCUUACAGAAGAAUGCCCCACUCUUGGCAUUGAGUUCUUACCCCCCUGAAAGGGAAGAACUAGGGCUCUGAGUCUGUGAACGGUCUGGCUGAGACCCAGGGAUGACCUGGGCCUGGUAACUCUGGAAGAUGAUCAUACGUGUGACCUCCUUGGUCAUCUGACUGACCUCAGAGAUGGGCGCCUCAGCCCUGAGGACAUGAGUGCUCAUGUGAGCCAGAGCUGCUGAGCAUGCGGACGCCUCACCUACUGAGCCUGGGACUGGCAUCCUGGGCAUUCGGAGAGGUCAUCUGUGUGCACUCUUUCCUUAUCACUGCUGUAGCCAAUGACUAUGAGUGUAGUGGCUGAAAUCAACACAAUUUAUUAUUUUACAGUUCUGGAGCACAGAGUCCAGAAUGGCUUACUGAGCUGAAGUCCCGGUGCCAGCAGAGCUGUGUUCCUUGUGGAAGCUCUGGGCGGAGCUCACAUCCUUGUCUUUGUAGAGGCAUUCCUUGGCUUGUGACCCCUUCAAAGCCAGUGGCAGCCAGUCAGGUUUUCCCAUGAGGCCCUCUCUCUGGUUUGGAUUCUUCCGGGCCACCCCCACCUCAAAGCCCUCAGGGUGCCCCUG
rnacentral:lncRNA from 1 species